rnacentral:rRNA from 1 species
CGUAAGGUGGUUCAGGAACAAGGGCUGGGCAAGACCGGUGCCAGCCGCCGCGGUAAUACCGGCAGCCCAAGUGAUGACCGAUGUUAUUGGGCCUAAAGCGUCCGUAGCUGGCCGGACAAGUCCAUUGGGAAAUCUGCCCGCUCAACGGGUCGGCGUCCGGUGGAAACUGCCUGGCUUGGGACCGAAAGACUCAAGGGGUACGUCUGGGGUAGGAGUGAAAUCCUGUAAUCCUGGACGGACCACCGAUGGGGAAACCACCUCUGGAAAACGGAUCCGACGGUGAGGGACGAAAGCUCGGGUCUCGAACCGGAUUAGAUACCCGGGUAGUCCUAGCUGUAAACAAUGUCNGCUAGGUGUGACACAGGCUAUGAGCCUGUGUUGUGCCGUAGGGAAGCCGAUAAGCAAACCGCCUGGGAAGUACGUCCGCAAGGAUGAAACUUAAAGGAAUUGGCGGGGGGAGCACAA